rnacentral:rRNA from 1 species
UACGUAGGGGGCAAGCGUUGUUCGGAAUUACUGGGCGUAAAGGGCGCGUAGGCGGCACAGCAAGUCGGGAGUGAAAGCCCGGGGCUCAACCCCGGAACGGCUUUCGAAACUGCUGAGCUAGAGUACAGAAGGGGCAACCAGAAUUCCCAGUGUAGCGGUGAAAUGCGUAGAUAUUGGGAAGAACACCUGAGGCGAAGGCGGGUUGCUGGGCUGAUACUGACGCUGAGGCGCGAAAGCCAGGGGAGCAAACGGG